GGGCGGGUGGUCUAGUUGGUUAUGACGGCGGUCUCACACACCGCAGGUCGAGAGUUCGAAUCUCUCCUCGCCCA
rnacentral:tRNA from 1 species